rnacentral:rRNA from 1 species
GCAUACCAAGUAUUAGAGGCACUGCCUGCCCAGUGACAUCUGUUCAACGGCCGCGGUAUCCUGACCGUGCAAAGGUAGCAUAAUCACUUGUUCCCUAAAUAGGGACUUGUAUGAACGGCCACACGAGGGUUUUACUGUCUCUUACUUCCAAUCAGUGAAAUUGACCUUCCCGUGAAGAGGCGGGAAUGCCUCAAUAAGACGAGAAGACCCUAUGGAGCUUCAAUUAACUAGCCCAACGAAGACAAACUUCAAUCCACCCGGACACAACCACUCUUCGCCUGAGCUAGCAAUUUAGGUUGGGGUGACCUCGGAGCAUAAAAAACCCUCCGAAUGAUAAAAGCCCAGACUAACAAGUCAAAGCACUAUAUCACUUAUUGAUCCAAAUUUUGAUCAACGGAACAAGUUACCCUAGGGAUAACAGCGCAAUCCUAUUUAAGAGUCCAUAUCGACAAUAGGGUUUACGACCUCGAUGUUGGAUCAGGACAUCCUAAUGGUGCAAAAGCUAUUAACGGUUCGUUUGUUCAACGAUUAAAGUCCU